UACGUAGGGUGCGAGCGUUGCCCGGAUUUAUUGGGCGUAAAGGGCGCGCAGGCGGCUACGCACGUCCGUUGUGAAAUCGCUCGGCUCAACUGGGCGGGGUCAGCGGAUACGGCGUGGCUGGAGCAAGCUAGGGGGCAAUGGAAUUCCCGGUGUAGUGGUGGAAUGCGUAGAUAUGAUGUAGAACACCGAUUGCGAAGGCAGCUCACUAAAUUGUAACUGACGCUGAGGCACGAAAGCGUGGGGAGCAAACAGG
rnacentral:rRNA from 1 species